AUGGGCUGCACCGGCCCCAAUCCAGUUAAACUAGUACCAGUUUCAUGGAGAAAUGAAAUUGUUCUACCACCUUCAGCAGAUCUUGACACCAUGAAGGCCCUGCUUGACAAGCUCGUGGUGCUCAAGCUCAACGGAGGCCUCGGCACCACCAUGGGCUACACAGGCCCUAAGUUAUUUGCAUCUUGA
rnacentral:rRNA from 1 species